rnacentral:tRNA from 1 species
UAGGAGGUUGUAUAAUGGGAGUACAGAGAGUUUUGAUCUCUCGGGUGCAGGUUCAAUUCCUGUUCUUCUAA